rnacentral:tRNA from 1 species
GGUGGGAUCGCAUAGCGGUCUAGUGCGCACGCUUGGAAAGCGUGUAUACCUGAAAGGGUAUCCAGGGUUCGAAUCCCUGUCCCACCGCCA